GAACCAGUCCCUUAACCUUUAGAGCAGUUCUUCCAGGUGAUUAUUCUUGACUGCUCUGUGAACUGAAGACAAGGACGAGAUUCAGAGAAACAGAGAGGUUGCAUCCAUUUCUCAGGGCCCAGACGGUGACACUAAGGAUGAAGACCUAGCUCUGUUAUCCUUCAGGCUUUAUACCCUUCCUGUACUGGUUCCAAUCCAUAGCAAGAAACCACCCUUGAACAGCAGGGGACACUCCUCAAGCAGGACUGGAUUAAUCCAUGGGAGCGAGCAGCUGAGCCGUGAGAAGCCAGAAAGCCUGAUGUGGUCCACCCCUUUCCCUGGAAUCACUCCUUUCCAUGUGGGCUGAAUGCCCACGUGCAGCUGUCUGAUCUCAGGAUUUCUAUCAUCCAGAGUAUUCUCUGGAAGCUCCAGCGGGGUUGGCCCAGCUCCUGGCUUCCUCUCCUGGCAACAGCCUCAGGUCUUUUUGAUGAAUUGAAUGAGAAGUGGAGCCCUCAGGUCCAGUCCUGAUCCUGCAGGUAAGCAGGUGCUUGCUCAUGAAGCUUACACAGAACUCAUGUGACCACGAAGCCAAGGUGGCCGAGAGAAGGCAGCUUCCUGGAAUCUCAGCCUUCCACCAGGCCAGGAGCCAGUCUGCUGCUUCUGUCUGCCUGUACCAAGCAUCUCCCUCAGAGGGAGGAGCCAUGGCCCCAGAAGAUGCUAAGCACUAAAGGAGGCCAUAUGCUUCUACCUUACCAGGUUUUCCGAUGCCCGUGGAGGUCAGAAGAGGGUACCGGACCAAUGGAAUUCAGGUGGCUGUGGUGAGCGCUGUGGGUUGUGAGAACUGAACCUGGGUCCUCUGUAAGAAGGACAAGAGCUCAUGACUGCUUAUCUUCUCUCUGGCCCCUCAUUUUACCUUCACGGGGUCUUGCGUGGCCCAGCCUCACCUCUGAGCUGCUGCUCAGAGAAGGGUGAGUUUGAACUCCCGAUCUUCCUUCCUCUGCCUCCCAAGUGAUGAGAACUGCCACUCCAGGUUUUUGCAGAGCUGAGGACUAAAGUUGGUGCACCAGAGAUGGUGGUUUCUCUGCUUAGCCCUGGCUGUCCUGGAACUCCCACUGUGAACCAGGGCUGGCCUCAAACUCACAGAGAUCUGCCUGCCUCUGCCCCCAGAGUGCUAGGAUUAAAGGCGUGCGCCACCACUGCUGGUAAAAAAGAAAAACAAAACCCAAACCCUUGUUUCUUCCCGCAUACCCUCUCAGUAAGUUUAUCUUCUCCUUGUGGCUUCAGAGCCCUGAGCAGAGCAGGGUUUAUCAACCCCACAUCACAGAGGAAACAUAAAAGGCCCAUUCACCCUGAGAGCAGACGGCUCAGCACAGUGCCCUGGGGCGGGCUACGGCUGCAACAUACUGCGGGUUGUUUCACGAGAGUCUGGGGGGCAUGAACAUAAAAUGGGUCUUUAGGGCAAUGUAUCUACGUUACUACACGGCUGCAAAGGUUAUCAUGUCCCAAACCACCAUAAAAGAGAGCCCAAGGUAGCCUUGAUUUCUUGAUUUCUUUGUUCUGUUGCUGUUUUGUAACUCAGGAUUAAAGCAUCCACCCCUGUUUCACCACAUUCCGUCUGGGAGACGGGGUUAGAACUGAGAUAAAAGGGGGGGGGGGGAGCCUUUGCUCACACCCCCCUCCACUUUUAAUAUUUACUAUUAUUUUGUGUGUGCGUGUGCGUGUGUGUGCGUGUGCGUGUGUGUGCGUGUGUGUGUGCAUGUGUGUGUGUGUGUGUUCGUGUGCAUGUGAGUGCACGUCCUCUGACCCCUGUGGAGGACAGAGAUACCAGACUCCCCUGGAGCCAUAGUUACAGACAUCUGUGAUUUGCCUGAUGUGGGAACUGAACCGGGGAGUUUUGGAACUGGGACAGCCCCAUUGCUGCUCAUCCUCCCUGUGCCUCGAUGCUUUGCCCUCACCUUCACAG
rnacentral:lncRNA from 1 species